UACGGGGGGGGCAAGCGUUGUUCGGAAUUACUGGGCGUAAAGGGCGCGUAGGCGGCCUUCUAAGUCGGACGUGAAAUCCCUCGGCUCAACCGAGGAACUGCGUCCGAUACUGAAAGGCUUGAAUCCGGGAGAGGGAUGUGGAAUUCCAGGUGUAGCGGUGAAAUGCGUAGAUAUCUGGAGGAACACCGGUGGCGAAGGCGGCAUCCUGGACCCCGGCAUUGACGCUGAGGCGCGAAAAGCUAGGGGGAGCAA
rnacentral:rRNA from 1 species